rnacentral:rRNA from 1 species
CCUACGGGUGGCAGCAGUGGGGAAUAUUGCACAAUGGGGGAAACCCUGAUGCAGCGACGCCGCGUGAGUGAAGACGUAUUUAGGUAUGUUAAGCUCUAUCAGCAGGGAAGAAAUAAAGUCCUUUGGACUUUGGACGGUACCUGACUGAGAAGCCCCGGCUAACUACGUGCCAGCAGCCGCGGUAAUCAGUAGGGGGCAAGCGUUAUCCGGCUUUACUGGGUGUCAAGGGAGAGUAGACGGCAUCGCAAGUCUAGAGUGAAAUCCCAUGGCUGAACCAUGGAACUGCGGUGGAAACUGUGCAGCUAGAGUGCAGGAGAGGUAAGCGGAAUUCGUAGUGUAGCGGUGAAAUGCGUAGAUAUGAGGAGGAACACCAGUGGCGAAGGCGGCUUACUGGACUGUAACUGACGUUGAGGCUCGAAAGCGUGGGGAGCAAACAGGAUUAGAUACCCGAGUAGUC